CAGGUGGAAGACAAGAUCGA
rnacentral:siRNA from 1 species